rnacentral:rRNA from 1 species
GAUGAACGCUGGCGGCGUGCCUAAUACAUGCAAGUCGAGCGAACGGAUAAGGAGCUUGCUCCUUUGACGUUAGCGGCGGACGGGUGAGUAACACGUGGGUAACCUACCUAUAAGACUGGGAUAACUUCGGGAAACCGGAGCUAAUACCGGAUAAUAUUUCGAACCGCAUGGUUCGAUAGUGAAAGAUGGUUUUGCUAUCACUUAUAGAUGGACCCGCGCCGUAUUAGCUAGUUGGUAAGGUAACGGCUUACCAAGGCGACGAUACGUAGCCGACCUGAGAGGGUGAUCGGCCACACUGGAACUGAGACACGGUCCAGACUCCUACGGGAGGCAGCAGUAGGGAAUCUUCCGCAAUGAGCGAAAGCCUGACGGAGCAACGCCGCGUGAGUGAUGAAGGUCUUCGGAUCGUAAAACUCUGUUAUUAGGGAAGAACAUACGUGUAAGUAACUGUGCACGUCUUGACGGUACCUAAUCAGAAAGCCACGGCUAACUACGUG